rnacentral:miRNA from 1 species
AACUGCACUAAGAUUUUGAGGA